AUACCCCAAGCGACUUACAGCUGUAAUCGCAGCAAAAGGUGGCGCUACAAAGUAUUAACUUAAGGGGGCUGAAUAAUUUUGCACGCCCAAUUUUUCCGUUUUUGAUUUGUUAAAAAAGUUUGAAAUAUCCAAUAAAUGUCGUUCCACUUCAUGAUUGUGUCCCACUUGUUGUUGAUUCUUCACAAAAAAAUACAGUUUUAUAUCUUUAUGUUUGAAGCCUGAAAUGUGGCAAAAGGUCGCAAAGUUCAAGGGGGCCGAAUACUUUCGCAAGGCACUUUAUAUACAACUAGGUCAACAACAACAACAAAAAUAUUGAAGAAACUGAUCUCAAGGUUCAGUUAGAUAUACUUAUGUAGAUAUUCAACGUAAACAUACAGUUCAGUCUGAGUAAUCUUCUUGUGAAAACAAAAGUGUUGUUCAGGCUAUACCUUUUCAUCUAUUCCCCAUCUACAGUAGUACAUUCCCCCCCGAAUUGAAGACCAGCAAUUAUUGUGUGUGUCUAUGAAUUAUUUUGAGUUUGCAGUGACUUUUUAUUAGAAAUGGUGUAUUUUUAGUGUUGCAAGAUUUAACUUGCUUUGCUGUGCUUCUCUUUUUGUUUCGCCUACUUGAUUUAUUGUAGACUCCUGCCCCUUGGCUGGUCACCUUGGAGAUGGGAGUUGGUCAAGGUCUGCUACAACUGUGCCUGUUAACUAACAAGCUUCCCUGAGCUCCUUCAAAUGGAGCUUCCAGUCCACCAACACAAACACCACCACCACCUUCACCCAGCUGCCACCUGCCUGGAGCCAGAAGGAGACCUGAGUUGAAAACGCUGUCUAGCAUGCAGAUAAAGGGCAGUCGACCCCCAAACCUGUGAACCAGAGACAGUAUCCAUAGAAGCCAAUGAGUGGAAGAGAGCAGCCUCACAUGAUCAUUAGCACCACUUCUGGACUAUGCUGUACUCUAGAGGCUGUGGACUGUGUAGAGACUGGGAGACGAGUGGAGGCAGGUCAGUGCAUGUUCUCUCUAUUCCCACUGUUUGAGUGCCCUUUUGUGAGGAUGCCAUCAUUUUGUUCCAGUAUAUGAUAAUAUGGCUAGGAUCAUGAUAUCCAGGCCUACUCUGAAACACUCUGUGACUUUGUUUUCCCUACUUUGAUUCAUACUCAGUAUUAUUCUGCCUUAUGCGCUUUCCGACUGUACAUACAAUGUAUUGUAAAGUUAUGUGAGGUUUUCUCAGAAAUACUAUAUGUCAGCAAUUGAAAUGACUAGGUAAAGGGAAUUACUGUAUUCCAAUCAGAUGUGGGUCACCUGUCUACCAUGACCAAACAUUACAGAAGAGCUGAAAGUCAUGCAUCCCUCUGUUCAGUUCCAUUGAAACACAAAACCUAAGUUUCCAGUCCAAAACCCUUCUCAAACCCUUCCAACGCCUUGUCCACAAGGAGGUCUCUAGUCCUGUUGUAUGUGGAUUGAGGACACAACCCUCUUUCUCUCUCUCUCUCUCUCUCUCCCUCUCUCUCUCUCUCUCUCUCUCUCUCUCUCUCUCUCAUCCUUUGAAAGCACUGGUACUGACCUUGGGAAAGAUUCCGCCUCCAAAGAA
rnacentral:lncRNA from 13 species